rnacentral:rRNA from 1 species
UGCGUAGGCGGGCUAAUAAGUCAGUGGUGAAAUCUUCCGGCUCAACCGGGGACCUGCCAUUGAUACUGUUAGUCUUGAGUUCGGCUGAGGUAGGCGGAAUGUGUAAUGUAGCGGUGAAAUGCUUAGAUAUUACACAGAACACCAAUUGCGUAGGCAGCUUACUAGACCGACACUGACGCUGAGGCACGAAAGCGUGGGGAGCGAACAGGAUUAGAUACCCUGGUAGUCC